AGUGAACGCUGGCGGUAGGCCUAACACAUGCAAGUCGAACGGCAGCACAGUAAGAGCUUGCUCUUACGGGUGGCGAGUGGCGGACGGGUGAGGAAUACAUCGGAAUCUACUUUUUCGUGGGGGAUAACGUAGGGAAACUUACGCUAAUACCGCAUACGACCUACGGGUGAAAGCAGGGGAUCUUCGUACCUUGCGCGAUUGAAUGAGCCGAUGUCGGAUUAGCUAGUUGGCGGGGUAAAGGCCCUCCAAGGCGACGAUCCGUAGCUGGUCUGAGAGGAUGAUUCGGUAGAUUGGAAGUGAGAAAGGGCCGCGACACUUAGGGGAGGAAGCGGUGGGGAAUAUUGCGCAAGGGGGGAAAGCGGGAUAUAGGAAUACCGCGUGAGUGAUGAACGAGUUCGGGUGGGAAAGCGCUGUUGUUCGGAAAGAAGAACAGCAGGUUUAUCCCCGGCGGUUAUGACGGUACCGAAAGAAUAAGCCCCGGCUAACUUCGUG
rnacentral:rRNA from 1 species